rnacentral:lncRNA from 1 species
CCCAUCAGUGGGCUGCCCAGCUUUGGGCUUCCCAUCUUAUGGACUUUUAAGUCCAUUUCCCUGCAAUGUAUAUCAGCUGUAUACUGACUGUAUAUCAGUUUCGUUGCUGCUGCGUUUUUGUGUAUAUCUGGUGUAUAUAUGACCAUAUAUUAGUCAUAUAUGCAUGUUUUCCGGUCCUCCACAAAUAUCCCAACUUUACCUCCUCGGGUUCCACUGCGUAUCCCCAGUAUACUAUUGUAUAUCAGUGUAUGCAGCCUUAUUUCUUGUCCUUUGGUUCAUUUUGAAACUUUGGCAUGGAUUUUGACUCGACGGAUAUGCAAGGGGGAGUUCGUUUGGACUCAUCGGGGUGUCACAUGUAACAACAAAGAAAAAGGAUUAGUGAAUGCUCAAGAGGAGAAGGGUGGAAUAUUCAAUAGAUUAGAAUAACUAUUAGUCAAACAAUUACUAUUUAUACUACAUCAUAUUUGCAACAAUCCAUAGAUAGCAAGGAAUAUGGAAUGGAAUCAUGAAUUAAUUGCGCUCUUAUGCCAAUAGCCCACAACAGCGACUUUGGUAGAGUACGGGAAUAUCAGAAUAAACUAGAAGCAUAUGUUGGGAGCAAUAAAUCAAAAUACAUAAUAGAAGAAGCACUGUAUGUUGUGAGCAUGGGAACUAAUGAUUUCAUAGAGAAUUAUUAUUCAUCAACAAGCCCACGGGAGUUGCAGUACAUGAUAGAACAAUUUCAAGGCUUCAUUAUUGACCUUGCAGAGGACUUUAUUAAACAAAUUUAUCAACUUGGAGCUAGGAAAAUAUUAUUUACUGGACUUCCUCCAAUGGGUUGUUUUCCUUUGGAAAGAGCAGUAGAUUAUGCAAACAGAGUUGGUUCGUAUAGAUUCAAAUCUAAAAUGGCUAAAACAAUUGAGCUAGUAAACGCCAAGGCUUUUAAACAUAUGCAAAAUAUAGCACCAUACAAACAAUUAAAACCUUAUGGAGAUUCAACCAAUCCCGGCCACAACGUGACUCAUAACAGUGUAAAAAAAAUAGAAUAGUGUAAAGAGAAUGGAGCCUUACCUAUUUUCGGGCAGCGAUACCGGGACGCCGAAAUGAGCAAGACGACUUCGGGACCGAAUUUCGAACUCAAGUUUUGCCGGAGUUUAGGAUGACCUCGACGGUCUUUUGAGAAUUUCGGUUUCGUGAGGUUAAAGGAAAGCACCUUCAGAACCCCCAAUUUUUCCCCAAAAUUCUCUCUUUUUCCAUGGUGAGGGAGGGGCUAUUUAUAGAUGAAAUCCGGAUUGGAAAAAAUAAUUUUUUGCAAAAGUUGGGAUGGAAUUUGUAUUCUAAUUCCACUAACAAUCCCCUCCAUAUCUUGCAUUAAUGAAGAAUUCAGAGCAAAUUUCCGGUGUAACACCAUUUGGGGACUGUUUCCCCUGCCAUUGUUGGCUUCAAAGGCUGACAGUGCUAGAAAUAGAUGAUGAUGCGGCUAGGGUUUUUGGGGUUUGACGUCGUUUGGUCGUCGUUGACGGGUACGUUGAGAUCCCGUUGAUGGGGUUGUACGCUGUUGUUUUGCUUUUGUUAGUUGAAGUUGGUCGCUGAUUUUGCUGUUGAGAUUGUACGCGUAUUUGUUGGUGUAUUGCUGUCUGUUUUGUGUUGAAGGGGGAAAGAAGAAAGGGCCAUUGGGCCGGGUCAGAUGGACGUUGGGCUGGGGCGAGGGAAUUGCUGCUUUGGGAGUGGGCCGAAUCAGCUGUGUGGGCUGGUUGUAUUGUUGUUGGAUAUUGGGCCUGGUUUGAGAAAAAGGGGGAAGAGGUUUGGGCUGAGGUUAAUGUGGUAAUGGGUAUUUUAGU